rnacentral:rRNA from 1 species
UACGGAAGGGGGCUAGCGUUGCUCGGAAUCGACUGGGCGUAAAGCGCACGUAGGCGGACUCUUAAGUCGGUGGUGAAAUCCUGGAGCUCAACUCCAGAACUGCCUUCGAUACUGAGAGUCUCGAGUCCGAGAGAGGUGAGUGGAACUGCGAGUGUAGAGGUGAAAUUCGUAGAUAUUCGCAAGAACACCAGUGGCGAAGGCGGCUCACUGGCUCGGUACUGACGCUGAGGUGCGAAAGCGUGGGGAGCAAACAGG